AUUGAACGCUGGCGGAAUGCUUUACACAUGCAAGUCGAACGGCAGCACGGACUUCGGUCUGGUGGCGAGUGGCGAACGGGUGAGUAAUAUAUCGGAACGUAUCCAAUAAUGGGGGAUAACUAAUCGAAAGGUCGGCUAAUACCGCAUACGUCCUACGGGAGAAAGCUAGGGACCUUCGGGCCUGGCGUUAAUGGAGCGGCCGAUAUCGGAUUAGCUAGUUGGUGAGGUAAAGGCUCACCAAGGCGACGAUCCGUAGCUGGUCUGAGAGGACGACCAGCCACACUAGAACUGAGACACGGGCCAGACUCCUACGGGAGGCAGCAGUGGGGAAUUUUGGACAAUGGGCGAAAGCCUGAUCCAGCCAUUCCGCGUGAGUGAAGAAGGCCUUCGGGUUGUAAAGCUCUUUCGCAAGAGAAGAAAACUUACCCUCUAACAUAGGGUGAGGUUGACGGUAUCUUGAUAAGAAGCACCGGCUAACUACGUGCCAGCCGCCGCGGUAA
rnacentral:rRNA from 1 species